rnacentral:rRNA from 1 species
UACAGAGACUGCAAGCGUUAUUCGGAUUCACUGGGCGUAAAGGGUGCGCAGGCGGCUCCGCAUGUCGGGCGUGAAAUCCCCCGGGCUCAACCUGGGAACUGCAUCCGAAACUGCCUUGCUAGAGUAUGGGAGAGGGAAGUGGAAUUUCCGGUGUAGCGGUGAAAUGCGUAGAUAUCGGAAGGAACAUCAGUGGCGAAGGCGACUUCCUGGACCAAUACUGACGCUCAGGUGCGAAAGCGUGGGGAGCGAACAGG